GUAGGUGGCAAGCGUUGUCCGGAAUUAUUGGGCGUAAAGCGCGCGCAGGCGGUCCUUUAAGUCUGAUGUGAAAGCCCACGGCUCAACCGUGGAGGGUCAUUGGAAACUGGGGGACUUGAGUACAGAAGAGGAAAGCGGAAUUCCAAGUGUAGCGGUGAAAUGCGUAGAGAUUUGGAGGAACACCAGUGGCGAAGGCGGCUUUCUGGUCUGUAACUGACGCUGAGGCGCGAAAGCGUGGGGAGCAAACAGGAUUAGAUACCCUGGUAGUCCACGCCGUAAACGAUGAGUGCUAAGUGUUAGGGGGUUUCCCGCCCCCCUUAGUGCUGCACCUAACGCAUUAAGCACUCCGCCUGGGGGAGUACGGCCGCAAGGCUG
rnacentral:rRNA from 1 species